CUUGAUGGCUGCGGGUAUCUGUCAAAGACAGAUUGAGAAAUACCGCUUGAACCUGAUCAGUGUUGACACCUGCGUAGGGAAGCCCAAGUCUAAAAUU
rfam:Rhizoctonia solani AG-1 IA unplaced genomic scaffold scaffold2012, whole genome shotgun sequence.